GUAGGGAAGGGAUAAACGCUGAAAGCAUCUAAGUGUGAAACCCACCUCAAGAUGAGAUUUCCCAUGAUUUUAUAUCAGUAAGAGCCCUGAGAGAUGAUCAGGUAGAUAGGUUAGAAGUGGAAGUGUGGCGACACAUGUAGCGGACUAAUACUAAUAGCUCGAGGACUUAUCCAAA
rnacentral:rRNA from 1 species